UACGUAGGUGGCAAGCGUUGUCCGGAAUUACUGGGCGUAAAGGGCGCGUAGGCGGUGCUCUAAGUCGGAUGUGAAAACUCUGGGCUCAACCCAGAGCCUGCAUCCGAAACUGGAGUGCUAGAGUUCUGGAGGGGGUAGCGGAAUUCCUGGUGUAGCGGUGAAAUGCGUAGAUAUCAGGAGGAACACCGGUGGCGAAGGCGGCUACCUGGACAGAAACUGACGCUGAGGCGCGAAAGCUAGGGGAGCAAACAGG
rnacentral:rRNA from 1 species